rnacentral:rRNA from 1 species
UACAGAGGUCUCAAGCGUUGUUCGGAUUCAUUGGGCGUAAAGGGUGCGUAGGCUGUGAGGUAAGUCUGGUGUGAAAUCCCGGGGCUCAACCCCGGAACUGCACUGGAUACUGCUUUACUUGAGCACUGGAGAGGGAACUGGAAUUUACGGUGUAGCAGUGAAAUGCGUAGAUAUCGUAAGGAAGACCAGUGGCGAAGGCGGGUCUCUGGACAGUUCCUGACGCUGAGGCACGAAGGUCAGGGGAGCAAACGGG